UACGUAGGGUGCAAGCGUUGUCCGGAAUUAUUGGGCGUAAAGAGCUCGUAGGCGGUUUGUCACGUCGGAUGUGAAACCCCGGGGCUCAACCCCGGGCCUGCAUUCGAUACGGGCAGACUAGAGUUCGGCAGGGGAGACUGGAAUUCCUGGUGUAGCGGUGAAAUGCGCAGAUAUCAGGAGGAACACCGGUGGCGAAGGCGGAUCUCUGGGCCGAUACUGACGCUGAGGAGCGAAAGCGUGGGGAGCGAACAGG
rnacentral:rRNA from 1 species